CCCUUAGACGUUCUGGGCCGCACGCGCGCUACACUGACCGGUGCAACAAGCAUCCGUCCUUGGCCGACAGGCCCGGGCAAUCUUUGAACGCCGGUCGUGAUGGGGAUAGACUUUUGCAAUUUUUGGUCUUCAACGAGGAAUUCCUAGUAAACGCAAGUCAUCAACUUGCAUUGAUUACGUCCCUGCCCUUUGUACACACCGCCCGUCGCACCUACCGAUUGAAUGGUCCGGUGAAGCCUCCGGAUUGGCGCGCACCUCGGUGCCGCCGAGAAGUUGGCUAAACCUUNCNAUUUAANGGAAGGUGAANUCGUANCA
rnacentral:rRNA from 1 species